AUUGCACUCUCCGUGACGAAUCUGUGGCCACGCCGCCCGUCCCGCCACCGGGAAACCCAUCUCCACCGCAUCGGCCCGCUUGCUCUUGCUCGGCAUCCUCGGCCGGUCUUGCUCUCGGACAGGGUUUCGCCGCGUACACCUAGCCAUGGCCGCCUCGCUGCCACGCCUCUCCCUCCCGCCGACGGCCGCUCUCCCUGCCGUCGCCUCCUCUCGCUACCGCCCCGACCUCGCCCCCGUCCCCAGCCGCCGCCGCCGCCUCGGCCUCCGUCUCCACCGCUCGCCGCUGGCACCUGCAGCUGCCGCGAGCUCGCCGUCCAUUCCGUCUUCUUCACCGGAACCAGGGUCGGGUAUCGGUGAUGCCCUCGGUGGCGUCGCCAUCUUCUCCGCGGCCACCGGCGAGCCCGUCCUGAUCAGGGAUCUGUGGGACCAGAACGAGGGAAUGGCUGUGGUCGCGUUGCUAAGGCAUUUCGGAUGUCCUUGCUGCUGGGAGUUGGCCUUGACGUUGAAAGACGCGAAAGAAAGAUUUGAUUCUGCUGGCGUCAAACUAAUUGCUGUUGGUGUUGGCACUCCUGAUAAAGCCCGUAUACUUGCUGAGCGUUUGCCCUUUCCAUUGGAUUACCUCUACGCAGAUCCUGAGCGCAAGGCUUAUGAUCUCUUGGGCCUAUAUUUUGGUGUUGGUCGCACAUUCUUCAACCCAGCCAGUGUGAAAGUGUUUUCUCGGUUUGAUUCCCUCAAGGAGGCAACAAAGAACUAUACAAUCGAAGCCACCCCAGAUGACAGGCCAAGUGUCCUGCAACAGGGUGGAAUGUUCGUGUUCAAAGGGAAAGAACUGUUAUAUGCGUGGAAGGACGAGGGCACAGGUGAUCAUGCACCAUUAGAUGAUGUCCUGAGCAUCUGCUGUAAAGUUCCAGUAGCCUGAUGUUGAGUCCUAUGAACGGGGUCCGUUCUUACUGCAUAACCGUACUGCGCAGGUGCUUCUCGUACAGACAUUUCAUAAGCUUGGUGGUAUCAGAUGACUUUCGAAAUACUGGAUCCUGAUAUAAAGGUAGCGUCCCCUGCAUGUGUAUGUAUUAAUAUUUUUGACAAACUUUCUAACACCUUGUUAAUUAUAGGAGCUUAGCAGGGUUGGUUUUUGGUAGAUAUAUGUAACUGAUCAUGAACACUGCACAGUGCUCUAAAAUAUAGCGAUACGUUAUCUUCGGCUUGUGUAUUGGCUUUAUUAAUUUAAAGCCGGGUGCUUCUUGGACCUUUCUUCUAAAAAUUUGUAGCAAUACUGUUUCUCAUGGAAUACUGCAUAUAUCCACAAGUGUCCAAUUUCUUGUCGAAUGCUGCAUACCUGCACAUCAUGCGAUUGGGCUGCACAUCAAGGAGGGCAGAUGCAUAGAAUCUCAAAUGGUUAAAACCCUAGCCUCUGACCAACCCACCCCGCGGAGACCAAGGAAGCUGCUACGCUGGAGGCCUGGAGCAAGGUUGCAGCACACCAAACGUGAUACGGCUUUGCUCUUGGUUUCAGAAAUCUUGCCGGAGCUACUACUCUGUAUCUAAAAGGGCGUGUACAAUAAUAUUAUCUUAACGAGUGUCAUAUAUUUUGAUACACUAGUUAAGACUAAAAGAUAACCCAUCGUACAUCAUAUUUUUAUUGACAUCUCUAACAUAUGUGGGAAAUUUAAAAUAAAAUUGUCUUAUCAACCGCUGUGUAAGCGCUAAAUGGACCGGAAGGAUACGCAUGCC
rnacentral:rRNA from 1 species